rnacentral:rRNA from 1 species
CAGGGAAUAUUGCACAAUGGGCGAAAGCCUGAUGCAGCGACACCGCGUGCGGGAUGAAGGCUUUCGGGUUGUAAACCGCUUUCAGGAGGGACGAAAAUGACGGUACCUCCAGAAGAAGGCCCGGCCAACUAUGUGCCAGCAGCCGCGGUAAUACAUAGGGGCCAAACGUUGUCCGGAUUUAUUGGGCGUAAAGGGCUCGUAGGCGGCUUGGAAAGUCAACCGUGAAAACCCGGGGCUCAACCCCGGGACGCCGGUCGAAACUUCCAUAGCUAGGGUCCGGUAGAGGUGAGUGGAAUUCUCAGUGUAGCGGUGAAAUGCGCAGAUAUUGAGAGGAACACCAGUAGCGAAGGCGGCUCACUGGGCCGGUACCGACGCUGAGGAGCGAAAGCGUGGGGAGCAAACAGGAUUAGAUACCCCCGUAGUCC